UCUCAAUGGUUUGCUUGCUUGAAGAGAAUAUUUCAUCAAGUUUUAAUACAUGAAAAUAAAAAUAUGUUGCUCCCUCUUUCAGAUUAUUGAUUCGCAGUUCUAGAUCAUUGUAGUCCAACGGUGCGUACCUGUUGGAGCCCAAACCUCAGACGAGAACCAUGACUUGGGUUGUGGUGACGUAGUAGAUAAAGCUGCGACCCUUCGAUUUGGCGGUGGUUGUGUCGUGGUUCUUGUGUCGCCGACUUGGAUUUGGGGCAGAGCGGUGGACGGUGGUGAUCGGUAUUGGUUGCUGACGUCGGGAGAAGAGUAGUGAUUGAUGGUAGUAACUGGAGGCAUCUGUCGAUGCCUGGAUGAUGUAUGACCCGUGGAUGGCACGUGAGGAUACUGUUCCUAAAUCAUACCCAAAUUGUAUAUAUUGAAUGAAUUGAAUGAAUGAAUGAAUUUGUCAAGUUUGUUGUUUUUUAAUACAAAAAGUUAGUUCAUGGGAGAGGUUUAAAGAUCAACUUAAUAUAGAUUUGAACUUAAAAAAAAAAAAAAAAAAGUGACUAUAGAUUCAUUUUUACUAGACAAUUUUAGAAUUUGGAAUCUUUUAGCAAUAUACACUGGGAUUCAACAAAGUUAAUAUCUUUAUUAUUUUAUCAAUUGGGAUCCAGUUUUGUAAUGAGAUUCAACAAAGUUAAUAUCUUAUUAUUUUAUCGAUUGGGAUCCAGUUUUGUAACUGGACAAAUUAUUAAUUUUAUCAAGUAUUAAUUCAUAGAAGUUUUACUGUAAAUGUAUUAUUCCCCAAAUGGUAGAGGGUUGUAGUCUAUGAUAGACAUUGGUGUAGAUUUAGAAGUAGGUUUAGACUUUUCUAUCACUCUUGUAAACUUUAGUCAUUGUUUAGUAUAUGAGUUGGUAAUUGUUGGUUGA
rnacentral:lncRNA from 1 species